rnacentral:rRNA from 1 species
CCUACGGGAGGCAGCAGUGGGGAAUAUUCGGCAAUGGGCGAAAGCCUGACCCAGCAAUGCCGCGUGAAUGAAGAAGGUCUUAGGAUUGUAAAAUUCUGUCCUAUGGGAAGAAAAAACUGACGGUACCCUAGUAAGAAGCCCCCGCUAACUACCUGCCAGCAGCCGCGGUAAUACGUAGGGGGCGAGCGUUGUCCGGAAUUACUGGGCGUAAAGAGAGCGUAGGCGGCACCACAAGUCUCAUGUGAAAUACCCGGGCUUAACUUGGGGAUUGCAUGGGAAACUGGAGAGCUUGAGUACAGGAGAGGAAAGCGGAAUUCCAAGUGUAGCGGUGAAAUGCAUAGAUAUUAGGAGGAACACCAGUGGCGAAGGCGGCUGGCUGGACUGAAACUGACGCUGAGGCUCGAAAGCGUGGGGAGCAAACAGGAUUAGAUACCCGGGUAGUC